CCUACGGGAGGCAGCAGUGGGGAAUAUUGCACAAUGGGGGAAACCCUGAUGCAGCAACGCCGCGUGGGUGAAGAAGUAUUUCGGUAUGUAAAGCCCUAUCAGCAGGGAAGAGAAUGACGGUACCUGACUAAGAAGCCCCGGCUAACUACGUGCCAGCAGCCGCGGUAAUACGUAGGGGGCAAGCGUUGUCCGGAUUUACUGGGUGUAAAGGGAGCGUAGACGGGUGUGCAAGUCGGAAGUGAAAGCCCGGGGCUCAACUGCGGAACGGCUUUGGAAACUGUGUAACUGGAGUGCGGGAGAGGUAAGCGGAAUUCCUGGUGUAGCGGUGAAAUGCGUAGAGAUCAGGAGGAACACCGGCGGCGAAGGCGGCUUACUGGACAGUAACUGACGUUGAGGCUCGAAAGCGUGGGGAGCAAACAGGAUUAGAUACCCUUGUAGUC
rnacentral:rRNA from 1 species